GUCAGAGCCACCUGGUGUUAAUCAGCCUGAGUCCAGCUGGGAAGAAGCUCUAGUUCACCUGUCUCUACUGUAAGUGAGAGUUUCUUGUUGCAUUUAGCUACACUCAACUGGAAAAUUUACAUAUUUUCAAACUGGCUUCUGGUACAGCUGGAAAGAGUUCCCCAUCCAGAAUGGCUCCAGAGGGAGGCUGCACACACCAACUCAAAAGGAAGAAGAGUAUUCAAGGUUUUCAGUCCCAGAAGACUCAAAAGCAGCAAAGCAGCCCAGAGCAUCACUAAGCCUCCGCCAUGACUAUUUUUUUUUUUUUUUUGUGGCACUAGUGGCCUUUAUUUUUCAAAUUCUUUUGACAGUAAGCUGACAACAAAAGUGGUGGAGAGAGGGAGGAAGACAUGCAGCGAAGGUCGCCUGGGCCGGGAGUCAAACCUGAGACAGCUGCCUCAAGGACUGAAGCCUCUGAAUAUCGGUUCCAUGUUUUACCCCUGUGCCACCGCCGUGCUCCCACAGUGUUAUUUCCAGCAUAUGCUUCAUUUCUUCUCCAGAGAUGCUGCUCAUUGCUCCACCAAACAGAAUCCCAGAACCUUUUCAGUUUAUUUAUAUUUUUGUAAGCAAAUUGGAGCUGACUUUUCUUUUUUUGGGUCAGUAGUGGUGCACUCCUGAGUUCAGGCAUUGACCCCUUGCCUUCAGCAUUUAAGUUGUGCCUUACUAUAGAAACUGAAACCCUAGUAGCUGGUGCCCCUACGUCUUACUGGAGGUCAUUUGAUGUCAGUCGAGGUAUUUUGACCACCUGUCUUCUCAGCAGACUGACUACCAUUGAUAGUUUCAUCUAUGUGCCAUCAGGUGGUGCGCCCACUAUUCCUUUCACUUUAAAGCUCUGAGAUAUUCUUUUAAUUAUGUCUCUGUGAUAUCUAUGUAUCCUUCUCUUGAUCUCUUCUCUGAACUUUAAGGACAAUUCUCUUGACUGAGCCAUAUGUCUAACAUGCAAUGAAAUGUAAUUGUCAACAUUACAGGUAUUUAAGGUGUUAUGUCUCAAGUACUCUAGUAUAACUGAUGAUUUCUUGGAUCGGCUAUGCCUGAGACCAUAACUGAUUUGCAAAUGUGUGCUCCUAAAGAAGUCUACCCAGAGGGUUGAAUAAUUUUGAGACUGAAGUUAAAACUAGGAUUUCGGGUUUAAUUUGGAUAAAAUCCAUGGGAUAUUAAUUUUACUUAUCUAUUUAAAUUGUUUUGGUGUAAUGUGUUCACUGCAAAAGCCUCAACAUUUUUUAAUUAGCCAAUGAACCAAGUUUUCAGUGGGGGUUGAAUAAUUUUAAGUGCAGCUGUAUGUUGGUAAUAUAGUAUCAGUUAGUGAAAAUAUGUAUUUAGAGGUUUCCUUUGCUUAACUUUCUAGCUGUUUCUGCAUAACACAACCCAGCUUUAGUAUUUGGUUUCUCUCCUAUUUGUAUUUAAUGUAAGAUAAGUUGCAGUAAGAAAAUAUGAAAAAAAAAAAAAACAGAAACCUCACUACUCUCUUAGAGUUUGCUAAAGUUUCCCUCCAUCACCAAAAUUAUUCAAUAAUACUUUGAUGAAAGUGAUAAUGUGGCACUUAUUCCCUGAAAGCUAUAUCUGCUGCUUUCACUGGCUAAUAAAAUGUUUUGAAAGA